GAUGAAGAACGCAGCGAAAUGCGAUAAGUAGUGUGAAUUGCAGAAUUCAGUGAAUCAUCGAAUCUUUGAACGCACAUUGCGCCCUUUGGUAUUCCAAAGGGCAUGCCUGUUCGAGCGUCAUUUGUACCCUCAAGCUUUGCUUGGUGUUGGGCGUCUUGUCUCUAGCUUUGCUGGAGACUCGCCUUAAAGUAAUUGGCAGCCGGCCUACUGGUUUCGGAGCGCAGCACAAGUCGCACUCUCUAUCAGCAAAGGUCUAGCAUCCAUUAAGCCUUUUUUUCAACGUUUGACCUCGGAUCAGGUAGGGAUACCCGCUGAACUUAAGCAUAUCAAUAAGCGGAGGA
rnacentral:misc_RNA from 1 species